AUUGAACGCUGGCGGAAUGCUUUACACAUGCAAGUCGAACGGCAGCACGGGGCAACCUGGUGGCGAGUGGCGAACGGGUGAGUAAUACAUCGGAACGUGCCCAGUCGUGGGGGGAUAACGUAGCGAAAGUUACGCUAAUACCGCAUACGAUCUAUGGAUGAAAGCGGGGGAUCGCAAGACCUCGCGCGAUUGGAGCGGCCGAUGUCAGAUUAGGUAGUUGGUGGGGUAAAGGCCUACCAAGCCGACGAUCUGUAGCUGGUCUGAGAGGACGAUCAGCCACACUGGGACUGAGACACGGCCCAGACUCCUACGGGAGGCAGCAGUGGGGAAUAUUGGACAAUGGGCGCGAAAGCCUGAUCCAGCAAUACCGCGUGUGUGAAGAAGGCCCUAGGGUGUAAAGCACUUUCAAUUGGGAGGAAAACCUGCCGGUCAAUACCCGGCAGCUUGACAUUACCUCUAGAAGAAGC
rnacentral:rRNA from 1 species